CACAUGCAAGUCUCAGCACACCAGUGAGGACGCCCUUACCCCUUCUAUAGGACAAGGAGCUGAUAUCAGGCACUUCAACCGCCCAUAACAUCUAGUCCGACCACACCCCCAAGGGUAUUCAGCAGUGAUAAACAUUGUUUAUAAGCGACAGCUUGACUCAGUCAAAGAGAAGAGGGCCGGCCAACCCGGUGCCAGCCGCCGCGGCUAAACCCUAGGGCCCAAAUUGAUAAUACUCGGCGUCAAUCGUGAUUAAAGCUUUACUAAAAUUAGAGUAGAACUAUUAUGUAG
rnacentral:rRNA from 1 species